UACGGAGGGGCUAGCGUUGUUCGGAAUUACUGGGCGUAAAGCGCGCGUAGGUGGUUCGUUAAGUUGGAUGUGAAAUCCCCGGGCUCAACCUGGGAACUGCAUUCAAAACUGACGAGCUAGAGUAUGGUAGAGGGUGGUGGAAUUUCCUGUGUAGCGGUGAAAUGCGUAGAUAUAGGAAGGAACACCAGUGGCGAAGGCGACCACCUGGACUGAUACUGACACUGAGGUGCGAAAGCGUGGGGAGCAAACAGG
rnacentral:rRNA from 1 species